rnacentral:rRNA from 1 species
GGAGUCUGGGCCGUGUCUCAGUCCCAAUGUGGCCGUUCAUCCUCUCAGACCGGCUACUGAUCGUCGCCUUGGUGGGCCGUUACCCCACCAACUAGCUAAUCAGACGCAGGCCCAUCUCUAAGUGAUAGCUUACAAGUAGAGGCCAUCUUUAAUGAGUCUCCCAUGCGGAAAACUCACAACAUUCGGUAUUAGCAGUCCUUUCGGACUGUUGUCCCCAUCUUAGAGGCAGGUUGCCUACGCGUUACUCACCCGUUUGCCACUAGGCUCUUAAAAGCAAGCUUCUAAUAGCCCCGUUCGACUUGCAUGUGUUAAGCACGCCGCCAGCGUCGUCCUCGAGCCACUGAUCAAACUACU